rnacentral:rRNA from 1 species
UCAGGAUGAACGCUGGCGGCGUGCCUAAUACAUGCAAGUCGAACGAGGUAGCAAUACCGAGUGGCGAACGGGUGAGUAACACGUAGGUAACCUGCCUUACAGUUUGGGAUACCCGAGGGAAACCUUGGCUAAUACCGAAUAAUUCUUUUGGAGGCAUCUCCAGAAGCUAAAAGGGGCCUUUAAAGCCUCGCUGAAAGAUGGACCUGCGGCGCAUUAGCUAGUUGGUGAGAUAACAGCCCACCAAGGCGAGGAUGCGUAGCCGACCUAAGAGGGUGAACGGCCACACUGGAACUGAGACACGGUCCAGACUCCUACGGGAGGCAGCAGUAGGGAGUUUUCGGCAAUGGGGGAAACCCUGACCGAGCAACGCCGCGUGAAACCGAUGAAGGUCUUCGGAUUGUAAAGUUCUGUUAUAAGGGAAGAAUGAUAACUUGAGGAAAUGCUAGUUAUUUGACGGUACCUUAUUAGAAAGCCACGGCUAACUACGUGCCAGCCGCAGC